rnacentral:rRNA from 1 species
CCUACGGGAGGCAGCAGUGGGGAAUAUUGGUCAAUGGGCGCGAGCCUGAACGAGCAAAGUAGCGUGAAUGAUGACUGCCCUACGAGUUUAACACUUCGUUUAUAAAGAAAUAAGGUGGGGCGCGUAUGCCUUUUUGUAUGUACUUUAUGAAUAAGGAUCGGCUAGCUCCGUGCCAGCAGCCGCGGUAAUACGGAGGAUCCGAGGGUUAUCCGGAUUUGUUGGGUUUAGAGGGAGCGUAGAUGGGUUGUUAAGUCAGUUGUGAAAGUUUGCGGCUCAACCGUAAAAGUGCAAUUGAUACUGGAAGACUUGAGUACAGUUGAGGUAGGUGGAACUCGAGGUGUAGCGGUGAAAUGCUUAGAUAUAACGAAGAACUCCGAUUGCGAAGGCAGCCUACUAAACUGCAACUGACACUGAUGCUCGAAAGCGUGGGUAUCAAACAGGAUUAGAUACCCGAGUAGUC